UUCUUUCCAAUCAAUCCGUUGGGCUAUCUCUACUCCUAAUGGAGCAGUUGGUAGUCUCGCUUCCAGGUUUUUUUAGUCCCACCUUCCAUGGUUUUUUGGUACCUCCUCCCAUCUCUGACUUAGCCAUCACAAACCGAAAAAACCUCGUGCUAAGGCCCCAACCCGCACCCAUGCAUGUACGACAAAAAAAGACCUAUGAAGAUUAACCAACAAAAAAAGACCCAUGAAGGUUAACCAGCGACAAAAAAACCUAAACCUUUCAUCCCUUCACCGCCGCGCUUCACUCCCCGCCCUCCAUCCGCGCUGAACAUGUCCAGGAUCCGCCGCCGCCCUCGCAAAUCCAUCCCUUCGCCGCCACCCUCGCGCUCGCAUCAAGGAUCGAGGCCUCCAGAGUAUCCUCGAUCCCCGCAUUACCCAUUCGCCGCCGCCGAUCCCACCGCCGCGGGAGAGGAUGAUCUGAUCUCCAUGGCCAGAUGAGGGAGGAAUAGGGGUGACGGGAUGGAUUUGGAUCUCAAGGUGGGGAGGCCAACGUAGUCGCCCCUAGCGCGUCGAGCAAAAGCGAAGGAUUUGGAUCUCAUGGAUUUGGCUGCGUCGACCAGCAAAGGACCGCCGCCGGCUCGGCUCCUCCACCACGAAUCAACCUCCUUCCACCCCGUAGCCGCCGCCCAAAACCCUAGCAAUCGAGCCCCACCCAUGGCGCCCUAGGUGGUACAGCGGCCAGAGGAGAGGAGAGGAGAGGAGGUGGAGCAGCCAUCGCCUGGACGUGAGGUGAGCUUCCCCCAUCCAAUCUUAUCUACCCCACCCCCAGGUGGCUCACAAUAUCUAUCACCUGCAGCAGCAUCUUGUGCAUGCAUCCAUUGAGGACGUGAGGUGCACACCACAUUUUGGUUCAGUUUUCCCUUCUUUAUUAUAAUUAUGCCAAGGACAUCUUAUGCCUUACAGUAGUAUUCAGAUUCUCAAGUUUGUUUAUUUAUUUUUAGUGCAAUACUGCUCUCCUGUCUGCAGGAGAUUGGAGGAAAAAAUAUCAGAUAUCGGAAACAUGACGUUUUGGUUUAGUUCUGGAUCAUUUUCUUUUUUGGUUCAGUUUAUAUAAGUGGUUGUUGUUUUAUGUUGCACACGCGCCCACCAUCGGCCACCAAUGCAUCGUACACAUCACAUGGGCCUACCUGACCAAAGUGCAUGCAAAGUUGCAAGGCCCAUCUCAGCAACGUCUCCUGAUAGUCACGCACGCACAGCCGACCAGGCAUCAACUCCUUUAGUCCCACCUCGCUAGACGGAUGGGAUGAUUCAGAUCUGCUGCCUAUAUAAGAGGGUACCACUUCUAAAAUCCUAGCACAAAUACUUGGCGUGGUACAUCGGUACAAAACUGAAAACCAUACCGAAUAUUCGGUUAGCUAGUUUUAGCUAACAUUUUCGGUUUCCAGUUUUACAAACCGAAAUUUAAUAAACGCCGAACAGUAGAAACCGAAUUUUCGGUUUAUACCGAACGCCCAGCCCUAGGCCAGAGGCUGCUCACCAUAUACAUCGCCAUCCAUAGCCGCUCUCGUCCGCCAAGAAGCUGAGGAGGGAGGCUGACCUCCAGUGACCACUCUGCACCGCUCUGGACGACACCCUCCCCCACCAGGUUCAUCCUCCUAAUUCGUUUUAAUAAAAAUAAAAAUAACAAAGAACCCUUUGGAGAUCCCUGCCCAUGAGUCUGGUUUUUAGAUGACAAAUAUAAUCACAAUUUUAAAAUAAAAGGAUGUGUCAAAGUUCGGAUGCGCUGAAAUUAUUAGAGCUUGGGUACCUAUCUUGAUCAAAAGUCAAAAACUUUCAAUUAACUGAACGAAUUUAUGGGUCAUCAAUAUGGUUACAUGAUACCUUACACAUGAUUUUAGUUUUCAAGUCUACACUUGAAUUGAAUAUUUCAAGUAAGAGUUGAGUAUGUAACAGUAAAAAAAAUCCUAUUUCGUAAAAGAUAAAUCUCAAGAGUCGAUUUAUAUUAAAACUAGAGAGCACGGCCGGCCCGACGGAGCUGAGAGCGCACGCUCUCCAAACCAGAGGGGCAGAAAUAAGGCAGAUGGUGCGAGACGGGAGUUGUGCUACACAUCAAUCUCUACUCCUAAUGGAGCAGUUGGGAGGAAUAGGGGUGACGGGAUGGAUUUGGAUCUGAAGGUGGGGAGGCCAACGUAGUCGCCCCUAGUGCGUCGAGCAAAAGCAAAGGAUUUGGAUCUCAUGGAUUUGGCUGCGUCGACCAGCAAAGGACCGCCGCCGGCUCGGCUCCUCCACCACGAAGCAACCUCCUUCCACCCCGUAGCCGCCGCCCAAAACCCUAGCAAUCGAGCCCCACCCAUUGCACCCUAGGUGGUACAGCGGCCAGAGGAGAGGAGAUGAGAGGAGAGGAGGUGGAGCAGCCAUCGCCUGGACGUGAGGUGAGCUUCCCCCAUCCAAUCUUAUCUACCCCACCCCCAGGUGGCUCACAAUAUCUAUCACCUGCAGCAGCAUCUUGUGCAUGCAUCCAUUGAGGACGUGAGGUGCACACCACAUUUUGGUUCAGUUUUUCCCUUCUUUAUUAUAAUUAUGCCAAGGACAUCUUAUGCCUUACAGUAGUAUUCAGAUUCUCAAGUUUGUUUAUUUAUUUUUAGUGCAAUACUGCUCUCAUGUCUGCAGGAGAUUGGAGGAAAAAAUAUCAGAAAUCGGAAACAUGACGUUUUGGUUCAGUUCUGGAUCAUUUUCUUUUUUGGUUCAGUUUAUAUAAGUGGUUGUUGUUUUAUGUUGCUGCUAGCUAUCAGAAAACGAGUUCAUAGUAGGUUUCCAUCCUUACAAUUCAUUUUGUGUUGCUCUGAACUGAAAAAAGAGGGAAUACUGUUGUGCCUAGCUUGAAGUUCACAGUAGGUUUGGCAUCAAUCGAGCAAACAUUGUUACAGUUAUUAGUGGCUGUUGUAUGUAUUACAUUUUUGCUUUUUCUAAAACCACAUGUAUCCUAUAAUCUGAUUGCUUUUCUUUGUGUGAGCAGUAGUUUCUGAGCUUUCCCUCCACUAUUUUUUCCUCUCUCUCUCUUUCUCUCUCUCACUCAAUCUCAACUUGGCAAGCGAUGGCGGCGGUGAAUGGGCAGCGUGGGCGUCUAGCAGGAUCAUGGGGGAGCAGGGGAGGCCAGAGGCUGCUCACCAUAUACAUCGCCAUCCAUAGCCGCUCUCGUCCGCCAAGAAGCUGAGGAGGGAGGCUGACCUCCAGUGACCACUCUGCACCACUCUGGACGACACCCUCCCCCACCAGAGAGAAAGUGCAAAAGCUAUGGGCAAUCCUAUAUGACUGGCGCCAUCAGUAAGGAUUUCUUUUAAGCUAGCUUACUUUUGGGUCUAAGUCGAGUUUAUUUCUUUUGCAGAUUUAUUCACCUUAUUGGGACGGUGGGGUUAAUAUAUAUACAUCAAUUUUGAGCAUCGGCAACGCAUGAAGCUUGCUUCUGAGGCUGCAACAUACUUUGCAAUCCCCCUGUGAAACAUACUCUUGUCACUAUGCACAUAUGGUUAUUCGAACGAAUUGAUUUCCAUUAGACUAUGUUUUUCCUAAUUACUUGUUAUAUGAUGUUCUUUACUAUUCAGAGGUUGUUGAAGGGAGAUGGGGCUCUUCAGGCCCCUUUGGUGCAAAAGCACAAGCAGCAUCUACAGCUGACCACUCAUAGCCUAGGAUGUCCUGCAGAUUUGAUCUAUUUUGGAUAGAGCACAUGGAAUCAAACCACGGGUAAUCAAUUUGCUAUAUUCAUGUGAUUAGCUAUGAGGAAUUUAUUACCUCUGUUUUAUUUGCGGGAUACCCAAGCAGUGCGUACAAAUUGUAGUGGUGCUUGUAGCUUAUCAUCAAUCUGCCAUUAUUAUUUGUGUGUAUGUGUUCAAAACGACCACUCUAGGGAUUCUUGAUUUGCUCCUGGCUGCACCGUUGGGUUUCCCGCGACUUUGUUUCGUUUGAGUUCUGUUGUUCAUACCAGUCUAAUUCGCCAACAUCAGAUUUCUAAUAAUGCUUUCAACCUGGACAGUCUGAUGUGAGCAAGUUUCUUGCCCUAUCCAUGCGUCAACCAACAAUUUCUUGAUCCAGGUGCCCCAUGCCCUAUAGGGAAGCAGAAGGGCAUCAACAUCAGUGCCAGCCGCCCCAAUGUGGGAGGAAACAGGCGGAUGCACGCGAGUUGCUCGACGCCUUCUUCUUCUUGAAUAGUUGGGUGACCCGCCAUUAAACCACUAAUUUUGGCUUGCUCGUUCUCUCCAAGCCCAUUGACUAAUUAAUUUAGUUGAUUGUCUGUAGAAUUCAUGGUGGUGAUGGACCUUUAUCUGCCCAAUGUUCUCAUGCAACUAGCAGGUCGUCCAUGUUGUUCUUUAUGCAUUUAAAAAAUACUAAUUAAAGGGAAAGGCAUGAAUGUGUAAGUUUUUGCAGCAGUAGAUUCAGAGUGGGUUAAAAAAAUUAUACAAUUCUUCAACCUCUUAAUAAUUAUGCAAUCAUCUCCUUGGAGUAGUGAGGAGGGCAUGCGUCAGAGACCUGUCGAUAGAGGGAGUGCAGGUUUGUGUUUCAUAAGGGGGAUAGUUGUGAGCAAUGCAUACAUCUAGGUUUUCUAUUUUUAUUUUAGAGACAAACUUAGUUGUGGGAUUGCCGUGUUAGUUUUUCAAAACGAAAAAUUAAGUGAUGAUCAUGUUUUAUCAACAUAGGUGUAGAGAUAACUUUAAUGAGUAAACAAAUAAUUUUCAUGCAGGCCAGUUCUGAUGUGUGUUGAAUAGCUCAAUUUUGUUUUGAUCUUCUACGUUUAGUCAUUGUUUGCUCUAGCAUCAACACUAACUGUCACACCCACGCCGCCCCAUGGACGACCCUGACCGAGGUGCGGGUCGGUGCUUGCCGUGGGUGCAUCCGCAGCGGUGCAGUGGCCUGCACUCAUCGAAAGCUUUGAAGCUUGGGAAAGCCACAAAACCAGAUGUUCCCCUCAACCUGAAGAUGUGAACUAUGCUGCUUCUCCCCGUAUGUGUAUUGCUUCCGCUGGAUGAUGCUCUAUUGUCGUUGUUGCCUCAGCCCUCCCAAUUGUCGUUUUCUCCCCUUCUCUUGCUGCUCAAUGAGGUUGAUCAUGCUGCUAGCUUUUAAUUCUAUGGAGUCUCUCUAUCUCUGCCUAUGAUAAAUUCAGUAUCGGUCAACACACAUGUUUGUACCAAUCCAAGCCCUGUUGAUGAUAUAGUUUGGACUUGUAAUGAUCUGACUAUGUAUACCUUUUAUGGGAUUAAUGAUCUGACUAUGUAUACGACGAGGGCGCCAUCCCCUCUCCCUCGCCGCGUCACACCUUUGUGCCCGUUGUAGAUGACGAGGGCGCAUGGGUUCGGUGCUGAUGUGGCGACGGUAGGGGUUGUCAUCAGAGAAGGAGGCCAACUAUGUCGUGGCAGGGAGAGGAGGAUGUGGGUGACACUAUUGAGAGAAGGUAGGCUAUGGGGACAACAUGGGACGGGCUUGAUAAGAGGGGGAGGAGAGAUGGUGGGGGAGGAGGGGGUCGGUCGACGCCGUGAAGCGGAGAGGAGGAUGCGCUACACCGUCGAUGGAAGGGCGGCGGCAGGGAAACGCGUGGAUGCGAGGGGAGAGAGUUCCGCGUGAAGCCAAAUAUUCAGAUGUUGGCAACACUGUUUGAUAGCAUGCUUGGGGCGACUUGGUAAGUACGGUCUCUUGUCCAUUGCUGUCAUGAUUUAUGGUUUCUAAUAGCUAUCACUUGUAGAUUUAUUUUCUAUAUCUUCUAUAUGCAUCCAUCAACCGAAAUAUAUUGUACAUUCAGCAACAAACAUGCAUGGUGUGUGUAUGUUUUAGACCCUAUCCAUACAUCAUAGUCGCCAGAGAUUAAAACUCUGAAGCAUUUAGUGAAAUUAUAAAGAUUUGCGAGGUAAUUCGACGACGCACUCAAAAUUGCGCAACUCGGCUGAAAUUCUGACAUAUCUAGAUGACAAAGUAUAUUUCUGGUUAGUAUUCCAAUGAGCAUGGAUGGAUACAUUUAUAUAUUUCAUUACCAUAACAUUCAAGAUACACGCAUUUAUAAUUGUUAUCACAGUAUUCAAGAUAACAUUAAUUUGGAAAUUACAGGGAUGUGUUUGGCUAUUUUUGUUUUUAAUUUUAUGCUCUCAUGAAAUAAUAAAGAAUUGGUUCAUCUGGUUUGCACGUUGAGUAUUCUCCUUGCAUAUUUUUAGACCUUUCACAUAAAAUAUUUGUACUAGCUAGAUAUAUUGCUUGUGCAGGUGGUUAUGAGUUGAGUAAGAAGUUAUUAUUAUAUUUGCUCAAUAUCGUGCGAAUGAAGCUAAAGACAACAUUGACAUUGUGCAAGAAUAUCUUAAGCCCAUCAAUCAGAUCUUAAUUUGUAACAGAUUAAUAGUUGGAUCAUUGAUUUCUAUGCAUACAUCAUUUAGUUACCUUUUUUUAUCAAAUUACAUUACAAGGGAAGUGGACUUCAAUUAUUAUCCGAUUGUUACUAGCUAUCUUUUUCAAUAGAUGAAAAUUUCACAUGCAUUAUGUUCAUAUAACUUCUGUAAAAUAUUUCAAAAGCCCAUAGCAACGCACGGGCAUUUUAUUAGAGGGUGAGGUCUAUGGGGAAGUAAGGUGUGGUGAGGGUGAGGUCGGCAUAUCUAACCAGUUCCAAAGGAGGGGGCUCUAGCAAGAAGUGUCCCACUACGACAUGAAACCGAGCAGAAAGGGGAGGGUUUGACAGAAAAAGAGAAGGGUGCGUGUGGGAUAAGACAUAUUCCUUUUUAGGUUGAUUAGGAUCUAUUUUCGUCCUGGGCCUUUUUGUUAGGUUGAUUAAGAUCAAUUUUUGUCCUACGCAAUUGUGGUAUGCACUUGAGAGGGAUCUAUUUUCAUCAUGUGCCUUUUGGGUUGAUUAGGAUCUAUUUUCUGUCCUAUGCCUUUUAGUUUUUUUACUCGCACCAUGAUGGUAGAUUCAACAUGAGAUCAAAAGUUUCAUGUGAAGGAAACUGUUCAAAUAUUGGCAACUUUGUUUGAUAGUUGGCCUGGGAUAGACAAUAUCUCACCGUGCAUGAUGGUAAGUAUGGUCUUUUGUCCGUUGUUGUCAUGGUUUAUUGUUGUUUCAAAUAGCUAUCACUUGUACAUUCAUUUUUUGUAUGCAUUCAUCGGAUGAUACAUCUUGUACGUCACCGACAAAGAUGCACUCUUCUAUAUAUUCCGGUCCCUAUUCAUACAUCAUAGUCGCCAGAGUGUAAAACUCGAAGGCAUUUAGUGAAAUUAAAAGGUUUUGUGAGGGAAUUCAAAGAAGCACUCGAAAUAAAGCAACCCGGCUAGAAUUCCAGAUGGUAACAUUUGUAUUCCAACAAGCAUAUAGGGGUAACAAAUUUAGUUGGAUCGUUGCUCUAUAUGUAUACAUAGUCAAUUUUCCCUUUUGUUACAUUGCAAGUGAAGUGGACUUCAAUUAUUAUGCAAUUGUGUGUGUGUGUUAUAUUGUCUCUACAUGUGAAAUUUAACUCCACCAAAAUAUUUUAAAAGCCCGUGACAACGCACAUGCAAUCUACUAGAAUUUGAGGCAUGCAUUGAAAUUAAAAAGUUUUGCAAGGGAUUUCAAAGAAGCACUCGAAAUAAAGCUGCUUGGUUGGAAUUCCAAUAUAUCUAAAUGGCGACGUUUAUUUCCAUUUCGUAUUCCAACGUGUAUAGACCGGUGCAUGAAUUCAUAAUAAAAACAUUUAUUUUUGUUAUCACUACAUUCUUUAUAUUAUCAAUUUAAAAAAUUGCAGGAACGUGUCUGGCUAUUUUGUUUUCCAUUUUAUGCUUUGGUGGAAUGCUAAAGAAUUGGUCAAGCCGGUUUGCGCGACGAGUAUUGUCUUUACAUGUUUUAAGACUUUCGGCGUGAAAUUUUCAUACUAACUACAUAUAUUGUUUGUGCAGGAUGUGUAUGAGUUGAGGAAGCAGUUUUUAUUAUACUUGCUAAAACAUCGUGGGAAUGAAGCUAAAGACAACUUUCUUGAUAUUGUGAAAGAAUUUCUUAAACACAUCAUCCAGAUAUUGAUAGUUUUGUAAUAGAUGUUUAGUUGGAACAUUGCUCAGUUUGUUACAUGGACAUGUUGUUAAUCUUU